rnacentral:rRNA from 1 species
CUACACAUGUGCUACAAUGGGCGGUACAAAGGGUCGCGAACCCGCAGGGGGAGCCAAUCCCAAAAAGCCGCUACUCAGUCCGGAUUGGAGUCUGCAACUCGACUCCAUGAAGUUGGAAUCGCUAGUAAUCGCAGAUCAGCACGCUGCGGUGAAUACGUUCCCGGGCCUU